rnacentral:misc_RNA from 1 species
GAAAUGCGAUAAGUAGUGUGAAUUUCAGAAUUCAGUGAAUCAUCGAAUCUUUGAACGCACAUUGCGCCCUUUGGUAUUCCUUAGGGCAUGCCUGUUCGAGCGUCAUUUAAACCUUCAAGCUCAGCUUGGUGAUGGGUGACUGUCCUCCCCUCGCGGGGGGGACUCGCCUCAAAAACAUUGGCGGCCGGUACAUUGGCUUCGAGCGCAGCAGAAACGCGGUCUCGAGUCCGAUGGAUCGGCUCCCAUAAGCCUUCUUUUUUAUUUUGACCUCGGAUCAGAUAGGGAUACCCGCUGAACUUAAGC